rnacentral:sRNA from 1 species
UAAAAUUUAUUUUACACGUGUCAAAAUCUAAGAUCGAUAAAAUUGGCAUGUGCCACAAUCCUAUUAGUUACUAAUUUUGAAAACCAUACUUUAUAUAAUAAGAUUAGACGCUUCUUUUACAACAAAAUCAUCCCAUAUGUUAACAUCUUCGAUA